rnacentral:rRNA from 1 species
UACAGAGGGUGCAAGCGUUAAUCGGAAUUACUGGGCGUAAAGGGCGCGUAGGCGGUUCGCUAAGUCGGAUGUGAAAACUCUGGGCUCAACCCAGAGCCUGCAUCCGAAACUGGCGGGCUAGAGUUCUGGAGGGGGUAGCGGAAUUCCUGGUGUAGCGGUGAAAUGCGUAGAUAUCAGGAGGAACACCGGUGGCGAAGGCGGCUACCUGGACAGAAACUGACGCUGAGGCGCGAAAGCUAGGGGAGCAAACAGG